AGGGUUCCGGCAACUGGUCCUGUUGAUGUGGACAGAUAACAGGCAAAGGUCUUCUUCAGCUUUUCAUUUGGAUAGGUUGAAAAUGUGUUCUUGUAUAGAGACUCAAAUCCACCCCCUGUUAUUGCUUUCGCCGUCAGGUUCAUCUUUCCCCAGGCAGCUUCAGAAACAGAUGGGCUAGUCCUUAGAUUGUGCCAGAUGUUGUGAGCCAUGAUUUCAGUCUUCUUGCUCCAAGAAUUGAACGACUGGAGAAUGGAUUCCAUUGGGCUGCUACUUGGUUUUUCGACAGGGCUGUACUGAAGGUAGGGAUGAUGGAAUUGGGCGGCUUGAUCACUAGCAGCAGC
rnacentral:misc_RNA from 1 species